rnacentral:rRNA from 1 species
AUACGGAGGGUGCAAGCGUUACUCGGAAUCACUGGGCGUAAAGCGCGCGCCGGCGGCUAUUUAAGUUGGAUGUGAAAGCCUACGGCUCAACCGUAGAACUGCAUCCAAAACUAUUUAGCUAGAGUGUGGGAGAGGAAGAUGGAAUUAGUUGUGUAGGGGUAAAAUCCGUAGAGAUAACUAGGAAUACCAAAAGCGAAGGCAAUCUUCUGGAACACUACUGACGCUGAGGCGCGAAAGCGUGGGGAGCAAACGGGAUUAGAAACCCUAGUAGUCC